UACAGAGGGGGCAAGCGUUGUUCGGAAUUACUGGGCGUAAAGGGCGCGUAGGCGGCCUGCUAAGUCGAACGUGAAAUCCCUGGGCUCAACCCAGGAACUGCGUCCGAUACUGGUUGGCUUGAAUCCGGGAGAGGGAUGUGGAAUUCCAGGUGUAGCGGUGAAAUGCGUAGAUAUCAGGAGGAACACCUGUGGUGUAGACGGCUUUCUGGACCAUCACUGACGCUGAGACACGAAAGCGUGGGGAGCAAACAGG
rnacentral:rRNA from 1 species